ACUCAAAUGAAUUGACGGGGGCCCGCACAAGCGGUGGAGCAUGGGGAUUAAUUCGUCAUUAACCGAAGAACCUUACCAGGGUUUGACAUCCGCGGAAAGUCCGUGAAAGCGGUACCCUCCGGAGCAAUCCGGACCGCGAGACAGGUGUUGCAUGGCUGUCGUCAGCUCGUGUCGUGAGAUGUUGGGUUAAGUCCCGCAACGAGCGCAACCCUCACGCAAUGUUGCCAGCGUCAAGUCGGGAACUCUUUGCGAACUGCCCGGGUAACCGGGAGGAAGGUGGGGAUGACGUCAAGUCGGCAUGGCCCUUACAUCCUGGGCUUCACCCAUGCUACAAUGGGCGCGACAGAGGGCACGCAAGACCGCGAGGUGGAGCAAAUCCCAUAAAGGCGCUCUCAGUUCGGAUUGCAGGCUGCAACUCGCCUGCAUGAAGUCGGAAUCGCUAGUAACCGCCGGUCAGCUAAACGGCGGUGAAUACGUUCCCGGGCCUUGUACACACCGCCCGU
rnacentral:rRNA from 1 species